AGUAGAAGAAUAGGAUGUUCAUCAUUUCCAUUUUGUUGUUGGUUGUGUAGGCUUCAUUGUUGAAGUAAAGUAUUAGGUAUUUAGUGAUUGUUGUAGGUUAUGGCCAAACUAUUUUGGUACUAAUCAUGAAUGUUGAAAGCUAUUUUUUUUUUUAUUAUCUAUUUUGAGUCAUGGACAAGUUUGUGUGUUAUCUAUUGAUGUGUUGUUGGAUGUAUUGAUCUGAUCAUGAACAAGCAUAUCCUUAAACUCUUGUAUAUUGCAGUACAUGGAAAUAAACUAAGUAAUGAGAAAAC
rnacentral:lncRNA from 1 species